rnacentral:rRNA from 1 species
UACGUAGGGGGCAAGCGUUGUCCGGAAUCAUUGGGCGUAAAGAGCGUGUAGGCGGCUCGAUAAGUCUGCUGUGAAAGUCAGGGCUCAACCCUGGAAGGCCGGUGGAAACUGUCGGGCUAGAGUCCGGAAGAGGCGAGUGGAAUUCCCGGUGUAGCGGUGAAAUGCGCAGAUAUCGGGAGGAACACCAAUGGCGAAGGCAGCUCGCUGGGACGGUACUGACGCUGAGACGCGAAAGCGUGGGGAGCAAACAGG